rnacentral:misc_RNA from 1 species
AAGUCGUAACAAGGUUUCCGUAGGUGAACCUGCGGAAGGAUCAUUACCGAAAACAAACGCCCCCGUCGCUGUGUUCGCGCUCCCCCCUAUUCGGGGGGACGCGGCGCGCGCGGGGACGGACCCCUGUGAACGCGUUAUCGUCCUUGGUGCCCCGCUCGCGAUCGUGGUCCGGCCGUCCCUCUCUCUCUCGAGAGAGGGCGGUCAUUCAUUUCGCACGCGGCGGGCCCAAUCUUUUUCAUUUACCCCAUCUCUUCUGAAUGCUGACUGAAGUAAAGUCGAGGUCUCGGCCUUCAUUGCGCCCUGGCUUUCGGCGUGGUCAACGCACCUCCCCUCGCGGGCGGGCUUGACGACAAAAACAUGUGACAACUUUUAACAACGGAUAUCUUGGUUCAC